rnacentral:siRNA from 1 species
AGCCACAUUAGUGCUUCUGUAGGA